AAUUUAUAAAAAAAAUAGAGUGACGAAAUAUUGUGGCUUGUGAUGUGUGUUUUUUUCUCAAAGUUGUUUGAUAAGAAUUGCAAUUUAAUAUUCACAUUAUAUCAUAUGUAUAUGAUUUCUGAUGUAUAAUAUUAAGACUUUAUGGGAAAAAUCUCAUACAUUAUUGUAUUUUGGUUAAAAAUGAAAAAAAAAAUAACAUUUGCUUUUUUUUCUUUCAGAUAAUUUAAAUAUUAAUUCAUUUCUAUUUAUUCAAUGGUACUAUUGUUCUAAUAUUGAUUGACUAAUAGCUCGUUGAAGGGCAUAAUUUAAGGCUUCAAAUACUUUUCUCUGAGAAGUUUCAGGUGACUUAAGUUGAGCCCUAUGUAAGCCUUGUAACUUUGCUCUUCAUCAACUUACACAAUGAGAUGUUUUCAUCAACCUUCUUUGUUGGUUCAUUUCCAUUCAAAUUGUGUUCCAAUGUAGCACCUGUCUAGCCAAGGUUUGUCUGUUUUCCACUGCUUCUUUGACAUUGCAAUAAGAUGCUUUCUAGUAUCACUUGUGUUUACGAGGUUCACUCAAGUCAAGGAUAUAUCAUAAGCAAUUCUUGGUUCCAGUAAAUUUGUAAUCACAACAGCACAAAUAGACCACAUAUGUUAACAUGCAAUAUUUUCAAAAACUUGUAGACUUUACAUAUUUCAGUUUUAUUAAAUGUUUGCAAGUUAAUUAUAUGUUGUUAAAAUCAGAGUAGCCUAUUAGAUAAUCAACCGCCUUGUUUAUUUCGUACUAUUGGACCUUGUUUCAUAGUAAACAAAAGUAUUGAACUGAGCAGUUUACUCAGACCUCAGCAUGUUGAUGUCACAUGAUCAUCAAUUUAUUGAGCAAGGCUAUUAACAUAUUUUUUUAUUAGAUGGCUGCCUGGU